rnacentral:rRNA from 1 species
GAUGAACGCUGGCGGUGUGCCUUAAGCAUGCAAGUCGAACGGGUUAGAUAGCAAUAUCUGACCAGUGGCAGACGGGUGAGUAACGCGUAGGAAUCUACCUUGAAAUGGGGAAUAGCCAGCCGAAAGGCUGGGUAAUACCGCAUAACAUCGCAAGAUCAAAGGCCUUAACUGGCCGUUUCAAGAGGAGCCUGCGUCCUAUCAGCUAGUUGGUGAGAUAACAGCCCACCAAGGCGAUGACGGGUAGGGGGUGUGAGAGCACGGCCCCCCACAAAGUCACUGAGACAAGGGACUUACACCUACGGGUGGCAG